AGACAGAUCUGUUUAGGUAGAGCACCAUCAAGACAGAUCUGUUUAGGUAGAGAACCAUCAAGACAGAUCUGUUUAGGUAGAGCACCACCAUCAAGACAGAUCUGUUUAGGUAGAGCACCACCAUCAAGACAGAUCUGUUUAGGUAGAGCACCACCAUCAAGACAGAUCUGUUUAGGUAGAGCACCACCAUCAAGACAGAUCUGUUUAGAUAGAGCACCACCAUCAAGACAUAUCUGUUUAGGUAGAGCACCACCAUCAAGACCACCAUUUUUCUUCAAUCAGUUUUGAUAUAAACAUUUCAGUGGGUGUCCUGGUGUUCACCUAGCACGCGAUCAUUGCUCUCAGUUCCAUUGCAUUACACAAGAGUCAUCAUUGGACGAAGGCGUCUUCUGUACGGGAAAGUUUUGUUAAGAGUCGCGACGCUCAGGCUGAACAUUUAACACGCAUCGUUUGCGGUACGGUUUUGCAAGCAUAAGGACCUUAUCUUUAUUUUUUAAGGUUAAAUUGAUACACACCUUUUAUAGGGUUCACACACGGCCGUAUCUCCAUUUAAGCACUAGUUGAGGGAAAACAUACCGAAGACAGAGUGGACUACAUGUGCUAAUUAGUUGUCAGCAUCUCCAAACACCUGUGUGUAAACGGAAGAUGACAAACGGUGUUAUCACUGAAAAAUACUGUCGGCUGCAACUGUGUUGAAACCGGUUAAAAAGGAGUACGGUGUUUAUUUUGUGUUUGGGAAAUUAUUUAGAGGGAAUUCAUGUUUCUAGAACCGUACUGCAAUUGAGGAUCGAUUCAGGUUUGGAUUGAAUUUGGGUUCCAGAACCACUUCACCUUUAAACAGAACAUGUAAGGUCAUUGGACUAAGGAGUAACGUUAGGUUUCUUUAGUUUAUUAUUGGGCGAUUGUUCCCCUAGUUAGGGAGAGUGAAAAAUAGCCAUUUCAAUUCAUGCUUGAUUUAUAUUACUGUUUGUACAGACACACACAAAGGUACACACACAUGCAUACUGCAUACAUUAUGAUAUUGUUGCAUGGUGGUAUUAAACAUUUUGUAUUGUA